rnacentral:rRNA from 1 species
GUGGGGAAUAUUGGACAAUGAGCGAAAGCCUGAUCCAGCCAUGCCGCGUGUGUGAAGAAGGUCUUCGGAUUGUAAAGCACUUUAAGUUGGGAGGAAGGGCAUUAACCUAAUACGUUAGUGUUUUGACGUUACCAACAGAAUAAGCACCGGCUAACUUCGUGCCAGCAGUCGCGGUAAUACGAAGGGUGCAAGCGUUAAUCGGAAUUACUGGGCGUAAAGCGCGCGUAGGUGGUUUUGUAAGUUGGAGGUGAAAUCCCCGGGCUCAACCUGGGAACUGCCUCCAAAACUGCAUGACUAGAGUACGGUAGAGGGUAGUGGAAUUUCCUGUGUAGCGGUGAAAUGCGUAGAUAUAGGAAGGAACACCAGUGGCGAAGGCGACUACCUGGACUGAUACUGACACUGAGGUGCGAAAGCGUGGGGAGCAAACAGGAUUAGAUACCCUUGUAGUCC